GUUUUGAUAUAAUGACCUUCGACAUUUGCCUUUGUCACCCAGACGAUAACGGUGUACGUCAACUACCACUGAUAUUGUUAGAGUAGGUAAUAGAGGCUAUCGCUAUCACGAAUUGGUAUAUCAGAUGGUUGGAGAUGUUGUUGAUAUAGGGAUGCAUUCUGUUGGACCAUAUGAUCCAGAGAUAGUGUUGGACAUUUAUAUAAAUUAUGCCAAACUUUUUCAAAAUUUAUAUGAGGAAAUGAGUCAUGGGAUGGUUUACGAACACCAACAUGGUGGAUUUCGGUUUUAUCUUAAUUUAGUUGAGAGCUAUAUACAGAGCCAACAUUUAUACGUAAGGAAUAAAGAAUCGUGGACAACCUUGACGGAUCGAACGAUUAUUUUUGAUAUUUUGAGAGAAGGAUCCAUUUACUUGAACUUUACUUUUCAAAUUUUUAAACAGUAUUGUAACCCAAUUUACAAUGUCAUUUGGAAAAUUCAUAUGUUUUAGUAGGGUUUUUAUAUAAUUGUGUUCAAUACGGUCAAAGGCUUUUUUCCUAAUCAAACGAUAAGAUAUAGGCAUUAGUUUCAUGUGUGUCUAAAUAAUUUAGGAUUGAAUCAAUUAAAUACAGGUUAUCGAAGGUGCUUUUAUUUGGUCCGGCUCCCGUUUGUGUUUUAGAGAUCAAUUUGUUAAUAACUGUGUUCAUUCAUAUACUUAAUAUUUUUGUGAUGAUUUUAUAGUCGACACAUAACAGGCUUAUUGGUCUAUAGUUCUUAAAUAAUCGGUGGUCGCCUCUAUUCUUAUAGACAAACAAUUUAUUCUUAUAAUUAAUUAUUAUUAUACCGGUUCUCAUUGGGUUAGAUAAUUCACCCUGUAGAUAGAUGUUGUUUAUUACUUCUGUCAGGUCGGUUCCUAUUGUGUCAAAGAAUUUGAUAUAGAAAUCUCCUGGAAUACCGUCGAUGCCUGGGCUACGGUUUGAUCUGAAACUUUGUAACGCCUUCAGAUCUUCAUCUUUAGAUAUGAAAUGAGACAGGGAAUCUCUUUCCGUGUUAGUUAGGGUAUUUAUGUUACUGUUUUCAAUAUAGGAGUUUAUUAGGUUUUCGACAAUGUUUUGGGUAGUAUAUAGUUGUUGGUAAUAUUGGUGAAUUGUGUCUAGAAUAUCUUGUUCAUUAUCAAAUACUGUAUUAUUUUGAUUGAUUAAUUGUUUAAUUUGCUUUUUAGCACUGUUUUUGACCUCAGCUAAUUUAUAUAUUUUAGAAUAUCGUAACCUUGUAUUGUAUUUUGUUCUAUUAUUUCGAUUUUUGUUUGAAUUUCAUGCAUUGAGUUAGUAUUCAUAGGUAGUAUGGAAGUAGAUCAACUUAUAGUGUGAUAUAUAUUGAGACUAUAUUUAUGUUAUAUAUAUGAAUGCAUAUCUAGCACUAUGCAUAUCUAGCGGUGUAUUAUGAAUGUAUGUUAUAUUAAAGGACGACGGAUAUUGUUAGUGUUGGUGACACGGGCUACUCCUAGAUCUAUCUUUAUAAUAGUAUU